UUAUGUACCUACAAUACAAAUAAAAGAUUCUAAGAAAUAAAAAUUAACAAUAAAAAAAUUCAAAUUACUCAUGAAUAGACGCAACAUUGUACACACAAUAUGAUGUAUUAAUAUCCCUAAUUGAAUCUACCUACUUCAAACAGUCAUCAUCAAUAACGAACAUACAAACAUUCGUAUCUGGAUAGUUGAAAAGGAGGCUGACUGGCUGACAACAUAUUAUACUCACAUUUUGAAAAUAUGUCGUCAUCAGCAUUAAACGUCUACGUAUCUACGUAUAUUAACUGAAGAAUUGAGUUUAAUUGUACAUAGAUAAAAUAACAAUUAAUGUCGCUGUUCAAUGUUCAUUAUGGCAAAAAGCCAAUGAUGACGCAUUGUGUGUAUGUAUGUACAUAGUUGUAAGAUGUCAACACUGUCAACACUUAGGAACAAUAUAUUAUAACGUGUACGGAUAAUCGUUUUAGUGACAAUGGAGUAGCUGGCAAGACACUAUGACAAAUAACAUCAUUUGGGAAAUAUACUUCAAAGGAAUCAUGAAAACACUAAACAAUUCAUCAUAAAAUAUGCAAAUUAUUAUAGCAAUAUAUCGUAUAAAUCAUACUAAACAAUGUCAAGAAUUGAAUAAAUUUUAAAUUUCAUAUUUAAUAUAAAAUAAGUGUAUAAUUUGAUGUAUGUAUACAUGUUAUUGUUUUUAAGUACAAAAAAUAUUUCUGUUAUAAUCCUGUACUUGAAUAUUACCUGCCUAGAUUACCAAUG